GGGCCAGUAGCUUAGCCUGGUGGAGCGCGCGUCUUAUAAGCGCGAGGUCCCGAGUUCAAAUCUCGGCUGGCCCA
rnacentral:tRNA from 3 species